UACGUAGGGGGCAAGCGUUGUCCGGAAUCAUUGGGCGUAAAGAGCGUGUAGGCGGCUCGGUAAGUCCGCUGUGAAAGUCCAGGGCUCAACCCUGGAAUGCCGGUGGAAACUGUCGAGCUAGAGUCCGGAAGAGGCGAGUGGAAUUCCUGGUGUAGCGGUGAAAUGCGCAGAUAUCAGGAGGAACACCAAUGGCGAAGGCAGCUCGCUGGGACGGUACUGACGCUGAGAAGCGAAAGCGUGGGGAGCGAACAGG
rnacentral:rRNA from 1 species